rnacentral:rRNA from 1 species
GACGAACGCUGGCGGCGUGCUUAACACAUGCAAGUCGAACGCCCCGCAAGGGGAGUGGCAGACGGGUGAGUAACGCGUGGGAAUCUACCCAGUUCUACGGAAUAACCCAGGGAGACUUGGACUAAUACCGUAUACGCCCUACGGGGGAAAGAUUUAUCGCUGAUGGAUGAGCCCGCGUCAGAUUAGGUAGUUGGUGGGGUAAUGGCCUACCAAGCCGACGAUCUGUAGCUGGUCUGAGAGGAUGAUCAGCCACACUGGGACUGAGACACGGCCCAGACUCCUACGGGAGGCAGCAGUGGGGAAUAUUGGACAAUGGGCGAAAGCCUGAUCCAGCAAUACCGCGUGAGUGAUGAAGGCCUUAGGGUUGUAAACCUCUUUCAGCAGGGACGAAGCGCAAGUGACGGUACCUGCAGAAGAAGCACCGGCCAACUACGUGCCAGCCGCCGCCGUAACAC